rnacentral:rRNA from 1 species
GAUGAACGCUAGCGGCAGGCUUAACACAUGCAAGUCGAGGGGCAGCGAGAUCAGUGCUUGCACUGAUUGUCGGCGACCGGCGCACGGGUGCGUAACGCGUAUGCAACCUACCCAUUACAGGGGGAUAACACUGAGAAAUCGGUACUAAUACCCCAUAACAUCCAGGGAGGCAUCUUCUUGGGUUGAAAACUCCGGUGGUAAUGGAUGGGCAUGCGUUGUAUUAGUUAGUUGGUGGGGUAACGGCUCACCAAGGCAACGAUACAUAGGGGGACUGAGAGGUUAACCCCCCACAUUGGUACUGAGACACGGACCAA